AACGAACGCUGGCGGCAUGCCUAACACAUGCAAGUCGAACGAGACCUUCGGGUCUAGUUGCUCACGGGUGCGUAACGCGUGGGAACCUUCCCUUAUGCUCCGAAUACCUCUCCUACAUGGGUGCUAAUACCGGAUAAUGUCUUCGGACCCAAGAUUUAUCGCCUUUGGGUGGGCCCGCGUUGGAUUAGCUAGUUGGUAGGGUAAAAGCCUACCAAGGCGACGAUCCAUAGCUGGUCUGAGAGGAUGAGCAGCCACACUGGGACUGAGACACGGCCCAGACUCCUACGGGAGGCAGCAGUGGGGAAUAUUGGACAAUGGGCGAAAGCCUGAUCCAGCAAUGCCGCGUGAGUGAUGAAGGCCUUAGGGUUGUAAAGCUCUUUUACCCGGGAUGAUAAUGACAGUACCGGGAGAAUAAGCUCCGGCUAACUCCGUG
rnacentral:rRNA from 1 species